rnacentral:lncRNA from 1 species
CUCACUUGAAUAGUCUGGAAUAUAGCAGUAUAAGCAGAUCAAAGGAUUUUUUAAUCUUAAGAUAUAGUAGAAGUAUUUUAUAAUAUUUCCCGCUGUUUAACUGAAAAAGCAACAUUGUACUAGGUCAGAUCAUCAAGGAUCAUUUUUAAAGCUGAUCCAACAUUUGGAAACAAACUUCCCAGGCAGUCCUCUCACUUUGUCACUUCCACAUGACUUUCCCAGGCACCUGGAUUCUGUCAGGAGCAAAAACAACAGAUGCCAUAAUCUUCAUCUGCAGGGGCAAGGCACAUCCUCUUCAGUUCACUCCAGCUUCUCCACCUGCAGAACG